rnacentral:rRNA from 1 species
GACGAACGCUGGCGGCGUGCUUAACACAUGCAAGUCGAACGGAAAGGCCCUGCUUUGGUGGGGUGCUCGAGUGGCGAACGGGUGAGUAACACGUGAGUAACCUGCCCUUGACUUUGGGAUAACUUCAGGAAACUGGGUCUAAUACCGGAUAGGAGCUCCUUCUGCAUGGUGGGGGUUGGAAAGUUUCUGCGGUUGGGGAUGGACUCGCGGCUUAUCAGCUUGUUGGUGGGGUAGUGGCUUACCAAGGCUUUGACGGGUAGCCGGCCUGAGAGGGUGACCGGCCACAUUGGGACUGAGAUACGGCCCAGACUCCUACGGGAGGCAGCAGUGGGGAAUAUUGCACAAUGGGCGGAAGCCUGAUGCAGCAACGCCGCGUGCGGGAUGACGGCCUUCGGGUUGUAAACCGCUUUCGCCUGUGACGAAGCGUGAGUGACGGUAAUGGGUAAAGAAGCACCGGCUAACUACGUG